rnacentral:rRNA from 1 species
AUUGAACGCUGGCGGCAGGCUUAACACAUGCAAGUCGAGCGGAGUGAUGGUGCUUGCACUAUCACUUAGCGGCGGACGGGUGAGUAAUGCUUAGGAAUCUGCCAUUUAGUGGGGGACAACAUUCCGAAAGGAAUGCUAAUACCGCAUACGUCCCACGGGAGAAAGCAGGGGAUCUUCGGACCUUGCGCUAAAUGAUGAGCCUAAGUCGGAUUAGCUAGUUGGUGGGGUAAAGGCCUACCAAGGCGACGAUCUGUAGCGGGUCUGAGAGGAUGAUCAGCCACACUGGGACUGAGACACGGCCCAGACUCCUACGGGAGGCAGCAGUGGGGAAUAUUGGACAAUGGGCGGAAGCCUGAUCCAGCCAUGCCGCGUGUGUGAAGAAGGCCUUUUGGUUGUAAAGCACUUUAAGCGAGGAGGAGGCUCUCCUAGUUAAUACCUAGGAAGAGUGGACGUUACUCGCAGAAUAAGCACCGGCUAACUCUGUGCCAGCCGCCGCCGUAAAAC